GGAGGGGUCGCAUAGUGGCCUAGUGCGUUGGUCUUGAAAACCAAUAUAGCCUUUGGCUAUCGUGGGUUCGAAUCCCACCCCCUCCGCCA
rnacentral:tRNA from 1 species